GUGUCAGCAGCCGCGGUAAGACAGAGGGUGCAAACGUUGUUCGGAAUUACUGGGCGUAAAGCGCGUGUAGGCUGCUUGGAAAGUCGGAUGUGAAAGCCCUGGGCUUAACCCAGGAAGUGCACUCGAAACUUCCAAGCUCGAGUCCUGGAGAGGGUGGCGGAAUUCUCGGUGUAGAGGUGAAAUUCGUAGAUAUCGAGAGGAACACCGGUGGCGAAGGCGGCUACCUGGACAGUGACUGACGCUGAGACGCGAAAGCGUGGGGAGCAAACAGGAUUAGAUACCCUGGUAGUCC
rnacentral:rRNA from 1 species